rnacentral:lncRNA from 1 species
GCCCUUCACACGAUGUUUAAAAAAAAAUUCUACCACUUGAUGAAAUGUUGCCAUCACAAAAACUGUAAUCGGUAAGGCACGAACUCCCCUCAACACCCCAUUUAAACUUUUCGAUCAGUUCAUUGUCAUAAUACCGAAUCGUCAACCACCAUCAAAAAUUUUAGCCCAGUAUGUCCUAUCGACAUGAAGAUUGUCAACCCAAAGCUAUGCUUCUUCAUCCAUAGCCUUCAAUUCUUCCUUUAAUGCAUAAUAUUCUCGUUCUUUUGAAACACUCCCAAUUCUCCAAA